GCUUAGAGAGGGGUCAAUGUCCUAUCAGCUAGUUGGUAAGGUAAUGGCUUACCAAGGCUAAGACGGGUAGCCGGCCUGAGAGGGUGGUCGGCCACACUGGGACUGAGACACUGCCCAGACUCCUACGGGAGGCUGCAGUCGAGAAUCUUUCGCAAUGCCCGAAAGGGUGACGAAGCGACGCCGCGUGUGGGAAGAAGGCCUUCGGGUUGUAAACCACUGUCGGGAGUUAAGAAAUGUAAGGGUGUUAAUAGCAUCCUUACUUGACUAAGGCUCCGGAGGAAGCCACGGCUAACUCUGUGCCAGCAGCCGCGGUAAUACAGAGGCGGCAAGCGUUGUUCGGAAUUAUUGGGCGUAAAGAGCACGUAGGCGGCCUUGUAAGUCAGUUGUGAAAGCCUUCUGCUUAACGGAAGAACAGCAGCUGAUACUGCAAGGCUAGAGUGCGGAAGGG
rnacentral:rRNA from 1 species